GCCUGUCACUCUGAUGCCUCUCUCUACUCAAAUGGCAGAAACCAACCAGGUACAUCCCAGCCUUCUUGCACAUAGAAACACUACACAGCACUUCAGCUGUAUGUUUGGGGGCCAUUUUAAACAGCAAAAUCAUCAACAGGAAGCAGAAAAUUGUAAAAAUUGUGGCACUAAAUAGACCAUGUAAAGGACACAUGUUUGCAAUAAGAAAGCUGAAACAAGAAGGGGGAGUGUCACCUUAUUUGAUCCAGCUAGAAACUCAGGUGCUGGUAUUCCAGCAACACUCAGGCGGCUGCUCCAGGAGGCUGCAGAGGGGUCCUUUUUAGCCGUCAACAAAACUGGCUAUGGUCACGCCCAUUGGGAAACUCAUUGCUGCCUUCAAGGUGAUGGCCACAGUGGCAGAACCUAGGAAGCCAAGAAGAAACCAGAGAAUGGAGACACAUGGCAGCAAUGGCAAGUCAUCAGACCCAGGAUUUCCCAAAGAACACUGGUCCAGGAAGAUGCUCUGUGAAAAAGUGUUCCCUGGUCGGAGAAAUUUGUGAAACACUUUGCAUAAUACUUAAAAGAAUGUAUGGCACAUCAAAGGUAAUAUGCAAUAAAAGAAUUCAUUUUUUUAAAACCAA
rnacentral:lncRNA from 1 species